rnacentral:rRNA from 1 species
AUUGAACGCUGGCGGCAUGCCUUACGCAUGCAAGUCGAACGGCAGCACGGGUGCUUGCACCUGGUGGCGAGUGGCGAACGGGUGAGUAAUACAUCGGAACAUGUCCUGUAGUGGGGGAUAGCCCGGCGAAAGCCGGAUUAAUACCGCAUACGAUCUACGGAUGAAAGCGGGGGACCUUCGGGCCUCGCGCUAUAGGGUUGGCCGAUGGCUGAUUAGCUAGUCGGUGGGGUAAAGGCCUACCAAGGCGACGAUCAGUAGCUGGUCUGAGAGGACGACCAGCCACACUGGGACUGAGACACGGCCCAGACUCCUACGGGAGGCAGCAGUGGGGAAUUUUGGACAAUGGGCGAAAGCCUGAUCCAGCAAUGCCGCGUGUGUGAAGAAGGCCUUCGGGUUGUAAAGCACUUUUGUCCGGAAAGAAAUCCUUGGCCCUAAUACGGUCGGGGGAUGACGGUACCGGAAGAAUAAGCACCGGCUAACUACGUG